UACGGAAGGUCCGGGCGUUAUCCGGAUUUACUGGGCGUAAAGCGCGUGUAGGAGGCAGAUCAAGUUGGGUGUAAAAUCUCCCGGCUUAACUGGGAGGCGUCGUUCAAAACUGAUUAGCUAGAGUAGCGGAGAGGUAAUCGGAACUCCGGGAGUAGCGGUGAAAUGCGUAGAUAUCCGGAAGAACACCAGAGGCGAAAGCGGAUUACUGGCCGCCAACUGACACUGAGACGCGAAAGCCAGGGUAGCAAAC
rnacentral:rRNA from 1 species